GGACCGGAAGUAGAUUUAUUGCGAGCCAGAAGUGGUUUAUGUCACCGUCAGCGCUUAAUUAACCUUAAAACUACGUAUUUCUUGCGGUUUUGAUUAUUGCCCAACUUGCCAUCUUGCCGAGACAUGGCCGUUCUUCUGGAGUGACAGACAGGAAACCAUUUAUCAGAGAGAAACGCAAAAGGUUUAGGCAAGUGCUCACUGACGGCGGCUCCGGAGAUGAGGCCAUCGCGGGGACUGGGGUGGGCCCCAUCAUGUCGCCCAGGAGAUGGCCGCGCUGUGUUCCUUGGCCUUCAUCCGCAGCGCAGCUAUGCUGGACGACUUGCGAUCGGGAUCAACGUUGAGGUCAUAGCCGUUGAUUCCCCCGCUGAUCCCGGCGCCCCCAAACAGGCUGCCCAUGUGUGUCUGUCCCAUGUGGCUGCUCCCUGGACUGGGCACGCCCAGGAAGUCGGAGACGCCUCCGGGAGCGUGAGGGUGAGGCGCCAUGCAGGACGGGACGGAGUCGCAUGGCACCACGCAGCCUGGCACCGGGGAGGCUGCACUGCUGCUCCCGAUCCACGAAGGGUUCUGGAUCUGGAGGGAAAGGGCUGGGAUUAUGACCUGGUUUUACUGGCUAUAAAUUCAGACAACAAACAUGGGGUGGCACAAACUUGUUUCAUCUGAUUUGUUGCUUGGCUUUUUUAUCCUCAUUGUGGUAGCAGAACCAGACCCUAAACUCAUUUAGAGAGCCAAACUUUUAACUUUUAGUAUUCAGGCUGGUCAACACAGCUGGGUUUUUACAGCUUCAGUCACCCACUGAAUUCAGUUCUGGUAUUUCAGCUUCAACCGUGAUUCAGGAAACUGGACUUUGAGGGCGUUUUCCCUCCUAAUAGUCUGGUAGACUCGGUUUGAUUGGGAACCAAAAUUGCAACAUUUGUUAUAUUUUCAGCUUUACGAUCCAAACUAAUUGAAAAAACUGUGGGGGCGCUGCACCAGUUCCACUGAAGGAAACGACAACUUCAUUCUUCACAAAAUGUAAACAAAAAUGGAGUAGCGUCAGAUUUUAGCGGUUGUAGGAUUUCUUUUUUGUCUUAAAAGGCCAUGACCAUGAGAUUGCUCUCGAGUGCGAUGGAGUCUUGCUUUUGUUUUUUUUUUUUUGUAUUUACCCAGAAUGCCCUGCGCUGUAGUCGCUCUCUGCUUUUGGAGUGGCCUCGGGUCCACUUUUAUCCACACAUGAAAACAAGCCAAGACCUUCACGUGCACCACCAGACUUAGCUUUCUUGGUUUGCAUCAAAGUUCGAUUGCUCAUUUACACUUCCCCAAACAAAACGGACUCUAUAGACAAGAGAACUGGAGUUCGAUUAAAGUGGACUAACAUGGCUGGCAUGAAUUAGGAUUGAAAUAUAUAAAUAAAUUAAGUCUCUAGGGUAAAAACUGACUAAUAAACUUUUGCUACUAACCACACAACAAUUCCUAGAAAAAAAUCUUUCAUUAAGGUGAAGCUGGCAUGGCUGGCAGUUUCCCAAAUCUUUGCCAGUCCAGAUAGAUUAAAAGUGAGAACAGUUUGGGGUCCAUUACUUUCUCUUUUCUGUUCUGGAUUCACAAAGCGGGUUGCACUAAAUACCUGCAGAAGCAAAUGGCAGAAAAGUCCAGGAGAUGGAAAUGAUUUGGUUGGCAGUCAGCUUUAAUUAAGCCACAAACACAGCAGAAAAGGUUAUGAUCAAAGAGAAAGAGGUUUGUUUUAACAUUAAUCAUAUUUUAUUCUUCAAAUGUUUAAGAAUAACACUGGACCUGACAAAUAAUGUCAGAAUGGCUUUUCUAAAUAAUUUUGUUGAUGCAGGAUUCAUCUCUUGAAGAUUGUCAGAUUAUGUAUAUAUUUUUUGAAAAUACACUAUGCGAGCUUUAAAUAAUAUCAAUGUUUAAAAUGAACUGAUUGCAUUCAGCUAAUUUGACCUGUGAAAUAAUAAAAUCCUUGGUUUCCACUGUC